GUAGGUGAACCUGGGGAAGGAUCAUUAUUGAUUGGUCGAAAGACCUUAUCAGAUUCUACCACCUCUGUAGAACCGUUGGACCUCCGGGUUAAUAAUCAAACAUCAGUGUAACGAACGUAAGAGUAUCUUAAUUAAACAAAACUUUUAACAACGGAUCUCUUGGCUCUCGCAUCGAUGAAGAACGCAGCGAAAUGCGAUAAGUAAUGUGAAUUGCAGAAUUCAGUGAAUCAUCGAAUCUUUGAACGCACCUUGCGCCUUUUGGUAUUCCGAAAGGCAUGCCUGUUUCAGUGUCAUGAAAUCUCAAUCUAAUAUGUUUUCUGAACAUGUUAGGCUUGGACUUGGGUGUCUGCCAGCAAUGGCUCACCUCAAAUGACUUAGUGGAACAUCCCACAUCAGUGUUAGACGUAAUAAGUUUCGUCUCUCCUUGUGGUGAUGACUGCUCAAAACCUGCCAUCGCGCACCUUUUGACUUUGACCUGAAAUCAGGUAGGGCUACCCGCUGAACUUAAGCAUAUCAAUAAGCGGAGGAAAA
rnacentral:rRNA from 1 species